GUCAGACUCAGUGGUGCAAGCCUGUAAUCCCAGCUACUCAGGAGGCUGAGGCGGGAGGAUCACUUGAGCCCAGGUGUUCAACACUGUAGUAUGCUAUGAUCACACCUGUGAAUAGCCACUGCACUCCAGCCUGGGCAACAUAGUGAGAUCCCAUCUCUU
rnacentral:sRNA from 1 species